AUACACCUCUCUGAAGCCUCUCCAUUUUUACCCAAACCUGCUUUAAAUUUGGCAACUAAAGGGAUCCUAUGUUGGAUGACCUUUCUAUGCCCUCUGCUAAUGCCUGUGUGGUCCCCAAAGGGGCUAGCACACAUGUGAUGGCAGUGGGUGCCAGCUUCUCACUGACAUGCAUGGUUUCAAGCCUGUGAGCAGGGUUGGCUGGGCUCUGACACAGCAUGUCCUCUACAUGCCCUUGUUAUGACAGACGCCCCCUACUUGGACCUAAUGCAUGAGUCACCAAAGGCUAUCGCCAGCCUCUCCUUCUGACAUUCUCCCCCCAAGAUGACUGGGUGAGUCAGGAGGUGUCUUCUUGUGAAGCCGUGAGCCCAGGCCAGCCUCUUUUAGCAGUUGUGACUGAGUGAGAACAUGCCGUGCUCAGCCUCUUGGCUCCACUCUUACAACAACAAGUGCAAAAAUCCUGACCACACUCUUCCCCAUCUCGAGAUCUGUAAUGAGACCAUGUGAAGCAAACGCAUACAGUCAGGAAACAGGGCUGUAAGUCAGAAUGCUAAUGGAGUUUCUGAUUUGUGGCCCUGAGACAGAUUCUUUUGCUUUCUGAAUCCAGACCCCACACAUUCUGGAAGAAAAGCAACAACCAGAAGAUGGGAAAAACAGAUCAUGCUUGAGACCAGUCUUCAGCCCAUGCCACACUUAAGAGCUUAGGUUUAAAUUCGGCAAAGAAAUGAGCCAUUCUUUCUUCAGUAUUCAUCGGAAAACUUGCUCAGACUCUGUUGGUCUGACCUGUCAGCUUUAGGAUCAUUGUCUUGGAGUCUUCUAAGCCACAAGGAAAUAUUUACUACAUACUGGUGAGAAGGAAGUGGAAGAGAUCCAGAUUACCUAUAAUAAGCAGCCAUUAUUAGUCGAAAGGUAAGAUUUGAGACCUAUAAGCUAUCAGACAAAAGAGAAAGGGCGUACCUUACUCACCUGGUAACCCUGGUUCUUUAUCUUUCUAUUUUGGCCUCUGUCAUAGCCUGCUGAUCCCCUCAGGGAGGAGGCUGGUGGAAACAGGAGCUGAAGAGCUGAGAGCUCCACAACUCACAUCCCCUCUUGCAGGAGUCUGGAGAGGAUGUGAGGCUUCCUGGAGCAGGAACCCCAGCCUUUGUUGCCUGGAUGUAUCCUGGCAACCUGUCAACAAAAGGGACAAGACUGAGUUCUCUAGUAACCAGUGGGAAAAAUCCAAAACAAGGGGUGAAGGAACUCAGGAACCAACAACAAAAUAGGUCUUUAUUAUCUACACAGGAGAGUUGGGCUCUUCUAAAAGAAGGACAUGGUUAUUCUCCAUGACUCUUAAAGGAUGGUCUAGGCUUUAGUCUAAAAUGCAAGAAAAUACAAGACAUAGAAGCUCUGGUUAGUUUACUUUCUAAUGUGUCCUAGAUAUGGCAAACAUUUUGAAAAAACUAAGGUCAACAUUUUAAAAUGUAUCUGCAAUUAUUUUUUAAACCCCAUACUUAAAAAUACUUUGAAACAUUGAGCUAAUUGUGGUUCAACCCUACAAUGAAAUAUUCUGAAAGCAUUAAAGCCCAUGAGGUAAAACAGUUUUUUACCACAGGGGAAAGGCCAUGAUUUAAUUUUAAAAAGUGAAGCUACAAAACAGAAUAAAUAGUGUGGUCUCACUAAACUCUCUGUGACAUGUGUACAGAUGUGUUAAACUCAAAGAACAUACACCUUAAUGUUGAUAGUAGUAAUCGCUGGAUGAGAUUAAGAAACGUUUUACAAAUGUCCCUUAGGGUUAGGAGUUAGGGGGGAAAUAAACCCUUAACUUCUAAAAUUCCAAAACUCUAUUCCUCACUCACAGAUAUUAGAACUGGGGCAUACAGAUAAUUUAGAGGAUUGUUAAUUCAUUCAAGUGACUUAAGACCACACAGUCUAAAGAUCCUACUAGAUAAUGAAGUUCCACCUCCUAACAGUCUAUAAAAUGCCCUAAAGAUGAAUAGAUAAAUCCUCUACAGAGAUUUGAAGGUAACUCCAUUACACUAGCAAAUAAAACAGUUCUGAUUUGGUUGCUUUUUUCUGAAACUU